UGGGGAAUUUUGGACAAUGGGCGCAAGCCUGAUCCAGCAAUGCCGCGUGAGUGAAGAAGGCCUUCGGGUUGUAAAGCUCUUUUGUCAGGGAAGAAACGGUUCUGGUUAAUACCCGGGGCUAAUGACGGUACCUGAAGAAUAAGCACCGGCUAACUACGUGCCAGCAGCCGCGGUAAUACGUAGGGUGCGAGCGUUAAUCGGAAUUACUGGGCGUAAAGCGUGCGCAGGCGGUUUUGUAAGACUGUCGUGAAAUCCCCGGGCUCAACCUGGGAAUGGCGAUGGUGACUGCAAGGCUAGAGUUUGGCAGAGGGGGGUAGAAUUCCACGUGUAGCAGUGAAAUGCGUAGAUAUGUGGAGGAACACCGAUGGCGAAGGCAGCCCCCUGGGUCAAAACUGACGCUCAUGCACGAAAGCGUGGGGAGCAAACA
rnacentral:rRNA from 1 species